CAGCACAUGCUCUGCCCUUUUACUUCUCCAGCAGAGCUACCAGGUCCCUAGGAAGCUGAAGAUCAGCUCUGCAUUUAGCUAUUCCAUUGCCUAGCUGGAUGUGCUGAGAUAAGAACUUCAGGCUGAAUUUAACGGAGCCCAUGUCAAGAGUUCAAUUUGCUACAGCCUAUAUGGCUUAGCAGUAAGAAGGUGUGAGAUUUGCUCCCUUCCCGGAGGAAUGUCCGUGUUACCAUUCCUUUCUGCAGUGGCAGAGCAGGAAGUACUUUUGUCAGCAUGGCAUUAUUGCAGCUUCCCAUUCUACCAAACUCUGAGGCCAUAGGCCUCUGCCAGGAAUCAGGCAAAGAAUACAAGUAGCCCUCAGUACAGGAACAUUUUAGGGGAGAAGACUUUGCUAUUCUGUGAAUAAUUAUCUUCACAUGGGCAGCAUCUUUGAAUGGAUCUGGGGUGACUGUAGUGUGAAAUGGGCAUUUGACUUGCUUUCAUCUGGGAUCAGGACACGCAGAGGAGCACUGGAGAGAGAUUUUUCCUGCACAUCAGGAAACAUUAUUUUCACUGUAUUUGGUGUGAUUUUCGGUACUCAGCUAUUCAGCUGUAUCUAGGUGGUUAGAGACUCAUCACUUAUCUUUGGCUCUGAGCUGCCUAUCAUUCUGUUCCCUCAUAUGUCUUAGCUUAUGGUAUCAUUCUGAACAUUUUGAUUAGGAAAUUUCCCUGACUUGGAGCUGUUUCUGGUGGCAGGAUUUUUGUGUGUGUCUCCUGAUAGUAUCUAAACCUCUUCUGUUCAGGACUCUUUGGGGCACUUGUCUUUCAAAUGGCAAUUACUAUGUCUUGUCUGAUUCAGAGAUCUCUCAAAACCCUGAUCUGACAUUAGAUCCUAAGAAACUGCUUGUUCCCUGAUACCUGAGCAUAUUCUUUCAUGAAUGCCUUAGUUUUCUUUUUCUUCCUGCCAGGGAAGAAAACCUGAGAAGACCACAUGCAUGUCCAUGUAGAGCACUGUGGACAUCAUUGAUCACCCUGUAGAUGGGUCAAGGCCUCCUCACCAUGUGAAGUCCAUGCGCUGCUUUACUUUCCAAAUCUGGAUCCAGAGAUGCCAAACCAAACCAUUCACUGCACACCUUGCCUUGCUGUAAUUUACAUUUGGCAUCAGGAUGCAGAUGUACCAACUCUUCCCAACUUUUGAAAUGAAUGAUGAUGAUGGACUUCAUACAAAAAAGCAUCUAUCUUUUAAACUCCCACAGCUCCCCUGAGCCUACAGAACUGUUAAAAGUAAAUUUAAGGCCUUUAUCUUACCAUCAAUUCACGAAGACUGGCAGCGGUGUUUACGUGGAGUCCACAAUGUGCCACCAGGUAUGUGUUAUUGGUGUUAAAAUCUGAACUACUUUCUCACCAGUCCAAUUUGCUGUACUGUCCAGGCUUUAUGGUAAUCCAGAUCAAUUCUGUACAAUGAGGGGAGAUCAAAGUUAUUGGUUUUUUUUUUCUUUUUCUUUUUUUUUUUUUCUAUUAGCUUUGAGGAAUAAAUGUUUAGUGGGCAAGGAAGCUAUGAAAUUUUGCUUUAUGAAAAUGAGUUUUCUCUGUCUUGUCUUCUUUCUUAGAAUUUCACAGGUAUUAAGCAUGAGACUCAAUUUGUAUUCUAGAUCCAUAACAAAAUUCAGCUGAAUGAAUGAGUACUAAACAAACUGAGAUUGACCAUUUCUUAAAAAAACACAGAGUGAGAUGCCCACAGAUGAACCAAAGCUGUUUCAGACAUAUUUUGUAAUAUCCUGGCGAUUACAAGAGCAGGCAUAAGUAAGGGAGAGGAUUGUCUGGGAAUGGUGGAACUUCAUUUUAGUGGUAGAGCUUUUUCCAACCACCCCAAGCAUUUCCCAGCCUCAUGAAAGGCUUUCAGAAGGUUAUUCCAUUUCGUGUGCGUAUUGUUUCAUGUCCUGGUUGUUUCUAUAGGGAUAAUACAGGGACCUUCCAAUGAGAAGUGACACAUUAGCAAGGGUUGAGAGGGAUGAAGAAGGUUCACACUAACGAUCUCUAACAAUCAACAGCAUUAAGAGCUGGAAUAAACAUUCAGGCUGUACUGCACCUUGAUCCUUGAUAUGGGCUGCUCACCCCUCAUGCAAGUGACAACCAUUCAGGAAGCACAGAGGGAGAGACUAUUCUUCUUUAACAGACUUCCCUAGCCAUAGAUCUUAGUCACAGAAAGGAAUUCCAGGAAGAUGUAGGGCAUUCUGGGGAAAAGAUAAGAAAAAAAUGAAAGGGAGAAGGAAAGAAAAAUGAAAGAAGGCUAUGGCACUGAGACAAUCUGUGCAGGAAACCUGCAGAAAACUACCACAGCUAGCACUGGGACUUCAUGCUAAUGUAAAUAUCAAUUUGCAUGCUUGAAUUUGAAAACUUACAGCUGCUUUGUUCAGCAGAGUUUGUACAGUCACACUCUCUCUGUGUGUGCGUCUUGUACUUCUGAGUGUAUUAGCUAGUAGCUAAAUCAGAUGAAGGGGUCCAGGACAGUAAGACUUGGGAUAAUUCAAUUCCCAUGAGGAUUUUGGAACAUAACCGCUACAGAUUGUGCCAAAGUGAAAACUAAGCACUCUGAGAAAUUCUAUUUGUUCCCUGGUUGUACAUCACUUACAGGAUAUUCUCAAAAGAAAUGAGGAGACCACAGGAAAUGCUUUUAAGCUGAUAUGCCGGAGGCUUAGAGCCGCAAUAGUUUUCUGAUAUGGGCUAAAGUCGCUUCAGAGUGCUUCGAUGGUGUAGAAGUGCUACUUCUGAGAUGACUUAAUCCAAACUUUUCUACAUUGCCUACAUUCUGCCUGGUAAAAGGUAUCAUAAAGACAGAACAAAGCAAGAGAACAGCCUCCACUGGAGAUACGUACGUAACAUCAGGGAUGAAGCACAGGUAGAACAAAACCCACUGUGCAGCAUUAAAAUUAAAUGGACCACAGCCUUAAUGGAGUGAGUCAUAUCCACAGUCCCUAAACUGCAGCCAGGGAGAUGGGUUGGUCAGUGAGCAGCUACGGUCUUUCUGCACUCAUUAUUAUUUGAGCUCAGUCAUAGCUGAAGAUCGUUGCUGUCUGCACUGUGCAAACCUGAGAAAAAACAGAUUCCACCUCAUGGAGGUAAGUACAUCCUGCUGUUUGCUUAGGUUUUUUGGUGUUUUUUUUUUAAUUGCACCUGUCACUGUUUCCUCAUCUUUUAGUCUGUUGCCUCCAGGGAGAAAAGGAAAAUAUUAAAUAUCUCAUCAUAGGCAAGAGAGAAUAAUUCAGAGAUAUUUUCACCUCAGUACAAGACAUCAGGGUUGGUUCUUUCUUGGUAAAUAGCAUCAGAUCCCUCAGGGUAUGGGGAAAGAUGCAAGGAAAUCUCAACUGUUGAUUGAAAAUCGAGCUGAGAGCCCUUCUCUGGCAUGGAUUGAUUUCAGAGGAUCCAAGGGGUUAGUAGGAACCGAGGAGUGAGGUUUGGGGAGCUCAUCCAAUCUCCAUGUGGACAGAGAGAAGGAAUAAGGGGAGCCCUGGGGCUGAGCUUUCCACUGAGUCUCCCAGAACCUGUGAAAAUCUGAUCUCCAGAAAUGGACAAACCAACCAGGUGCUAGAAUGGCAGCAAAGCUGCAACAAUGGCUGCAUGCUGAAGUUUUCUCAUAGUGAGUGAUGCCUUUAUUUUGCUAUAGAAAGUGUUUUAGGAAGGCUGUGAAGUGGAGCUGAGAGCUGGCUUGGCCCUCUAACAGAUCUGCAGACUCAGACUAUUCAGGGGACACAAGGGUACUAAUCAGCAGAAAGCCCUGAGGUAGCAAAAUUUGCUUGUUUAUCCUACUUCAUGAUACAAGAAUUCCUAACUGACAAAAGCUUUGGAGGAGACUAAUUUAUUCGUUUGGACCUUUCAUAUAGUUAGCUCAACUGCUGUCUGCUAGAACCUGGAAUGCUGUUAUUGAAAAUGUUGAGGUAUUUCUUAUGUUCUUCAUUACAUGAAACCACAAGUGAUGACAAAUCCAACAAUCAACCAGUCUUUUAUCAUUAUGCAGCAUUAUGAAAAUCUCCUCUCCAUUUGGAUAGGCCAAUAGUGCCAUUGAUUGUACUGAUCUAUUACAGUUGGCGCCAGACUUAUGAUUCUUUAAACCGCAGGAAGAUUAUCUUGGUUUCCUUUCAGCUGCAUAAUUUGUUUCUUCCCACUCACUGCAAGAACACAUUUGGGACUACCUGGCUUUCUACCUUCGAAUAUCACAUCAGGUUUGCUUUCUUGUAGGAACUCAAGAGAUUUUAGUUUUCUGUGAAGGCCAGUGGCAGGAUUCAAAUCAGUUUAGAUCCCAAGAUGAAGCAUAAAAACCUCAAAAAACAUAAUGUAAAAGGAGGAGUCUACUGUAAUGAACAUGGCUCUAGAUCUAAGGAAGAUUAAACCGUGCCUCUCAGUGUGCUGGUGGACCACACCUCUCUAACAUGGUAGUAAGAACAGGUUGCUUAUACCUGUUGUUUUAGUGACAAAGACAGAGAAAUAUGAAAGCAUCUAAGUUGCUUGGAGCUGUAGUGCAGAGAGGUCAAAAUCACUGAUGACAUCUAUUCCCUUUGUAUUUAAUACCAUGUAAGGGCAGGAAGUGUUAAAGUCUGAGUUAAAAAGUGACAGUAAUAGCCAAUCGGAGAGACAACCUGAGAGGGGAUCAGGUCUGACCUGAUUUAAAUAGAUAAACUGUGGAAUAUUUUAGGGUCUGUUCUGGUUUUGCAAAAAUAAGCAUCAGCUCAACAAAACAAAAGAAAAAAUGCACAACCCCAAACCUUUACAAAAACGAUGAGAAGGCUUUAGUUUGAAACCCUUGUGUAGCUUUUCUGUGUGUGUUGGAACAUGGACCUAAUGUGCAUUGGGGCAUUUAAGUCUUUGCCACCAAGCUGAUCCAUCCAGAUCUUGCAGUGGCCUGCACUAGCCACCCAACCAGCAAGGGAAGAUCAUUAUGGCAUGAACGGGCUGCAGGCAAACAGCAUAACAGAGAGGAAAAACAAGCUAAUGUACACCCUAAGGCUUUGAGAACUCCUAAUAGUUGGUGUGUUUUCACAUUUAUCACAUGGGAAAAUUAUAGAGGUUCCUCGGGAGGUAUUUUCACACCAUCACGAUGUUGUCCUGGUCUGGUGUCAUGCUCUAGGGGCUACGUCUGGUUGUGAAUUGAGGUGUGCCUCAUGAUUUUGGACGUCUGCAGGCUUCCAGGGAUUUGGACACACCCUUCACCUGGAGACAUCUGCUUGGAGCAGGUGGUGGAGACAGAACUGGGCUUUCUGCUGUUUGCUGCUGCUCUACUGUCCAGACUGCCUCAGAGCAUCAGAAUGUGAUGCUUCCCCAUGGUAAUAUUAUCCAGUAUUAAGAACCUAGUAAUAUUAUCCAAUAUUAAGAACCUGGGAGACUUCAUUUAAUGAUGUCAUCUCACAUAUUCUGGCAGAAUAUUAUAUGAGUAAAAUAAUCAAAGCGUAUUUUGUGGCACACCGAUAUAAAAUGCAAUGACAGAUCUAUAGCAAUAUGAUGGCUAAUUAAGGGUGAAACUUUCAAGAAACCAGCAAUGGCUAGAACCAUCUUCCAGUGGUAACAUGACUGUUUCCUUAGGGCCUUCCGUUGUCCAGUGAACUUGAUCUCUUUUAGGGUUGUUUAUGUAUUUAGGUCUUUGAAAAACUUCUGGCAACUUUCUUUUCUGUUGUGGUUAAGCAGAUGCAUUAAGUGCCAGAGGGCAAUAAAAUUAAAGAAGUCAAUAGCAAAGAAAGGCAACCAUUAAUCUUAUUUGGCAUCUACAAAGCAUCUAAAACUGAAAUGGACUUUACACAGACAUAAAAUGCAGUUUGUGUGACAAAGCUCUUUGCAGAUUGCACGUGGACCUAGUGUCUUUUCCUGCUUGGAAUACCAAGAAUCUGGAUUUCACUUGAUAACCUGGUGCAAUGUACUAGAUUGCAACUGUGUAACUCUGGAAAGCACUUACAAAAUAGCCUAUUCUGAGGAUUUCAGAACUCUGUUUAAAAUUAAGCACCUUGUAAAACUGUUAGAAAUUGGAAGUUCUGUUUUUCUGGCUGCUGGGUGCUGAAAACUUCUGAAUAUCUGGCAGUGGCAAAAAGUGAAUAAGGCAAUUUUCUUGAAUUGGUGCCUGAAUCUACUAAGUUUGUGAGCACUCCCAGGAAACACGUCCAAGGAUUUAUCUGAGAAUCAGCACAUCACAAGAUCCUCUGGGAGCCUUCCUUCAGUCCUUCAUAGAUUGUAUGGCUCCAGCCAGCUGGAUGUAAGUCAUUAAAGCUCCUUAUUCUACCCAUUAGUAGAUUCAUUAAUAUUUCUCUGCAACUUGGGACACAACAUUUCUCAUGCCAAGCUUAGGAAAGUUUUCUCUUCAUCUAAUUUUGACUUAGAAACAGUUAUAAGGACCAAAAGCUCACCACUGAGAGGAGGAAAAACUUUUUGUAAAAUUUAAGUCUGCAGAGUCUGUCAUUCGUGGUAGAAGAAUUUCACUUCAGAGAUUAAAGUCUUCCACAGAAAUGUUGACUGUAGGGGUAUUUAACUCUUGUCAUUGGGCCCAGUAUUCCUCUCUGAAGCUUAUUAACCUAUUAGAAGCAAGGCAACGAGCUUUUCACGGCAGGCCUCCUGAAGAAAAAAAUACAAAGCACAUCUCCUAGGAGCUGAGAAACUGGAUAAACAUGGUGCUAAAUUGUCCCUAUGCUCCAGAGAUGGGUACAACUAGAAGGCUGCCAACUUAAGCACAAAUAAUCAUUUUUGGGUUGAAAAACACAAUCAGUAUAUUCUUUCAUAUACACUUAGAUAUAC